UCGAGUUUUGACUGGGUUGUAGCUGGCCUUCCGAGGCAUGUGCACGCCCUGCUCAUCCACUCUACACCUGUGCACACACUGUGGGCUUCAGAUCGUGGAGCGGGCCCUUUAUCGGGCUCGUGAAGCGUGUCUGCGCCUGCGUUUAUCACAAAACCCCAUAAAGUAUCAGAAUGUGUAUUGCGAUGUAACGCAUCUAUAUA
rnacentral:misc_RNA from 1 species